rnacentral:rRNA from 1 species
AUUGAACGCUGGCGGCAGGCCUAACACAUGCAAGUCGAGCGAGCGGCGGACGGGUGAGUAAUGCCUGGGAAUUGCCCAGUCGAGGGGGAUAACAGUUGGAAACGACUGCUAAUACCGCAUACGAUUGGAUUGCCCAGGUGGGAUUAGCUAGUUGGUUAGGUAAUGGCUCACCAAGGCGACGAUCCCUAGCUGGUCUGAGAGGAUGAGCAGCAACACUGGAACUGGGACACGGUCCAUAACCCUCCGGGAGACAGCAUUGGGGAAUAUUGCACAAUGGGGGAAACCCUGAUGCAGCCAUGCCGCGGGUGUGAAGGAGGCCUUCAGGUUGUAAAGCACUUUCAGCGAGGAGGCGUUACUCGCAGAAGAAGCACCGGCUAACUCCGUGCCAGCAGCCGCGGUAAUUC